GUGAGGAAUAUUGCGCAAUGGAGGCAACUCUGAUGCAGCCAUGCCGCGUGCAGGAAGAAGGCGCUACGCGUUGUAAACUGCUUUUAACCGGGAAGAAACCCCAGGACGUGUCCUGGGUUGACGGUACCGGAGGAAUAAGCACCGGCUAACUUCGUGCCAGCAGCCGCGGUAAUACGAAGGGUGCAAGCGUUAUCCGGAUUCAUUGGGUUUAAAGGGUGCGUAGGCGGAGCGUUAAGUCAGUGGUGAAAUCCUGCAGCUUAACUGUAGACUUGCCAUUGAUACUGGCGCUCUUGAGUGCGCUUGAAGUGGGCGGAAUGUGCCGUGUAGCGGUGAAAUGCUUAGAUAUGGCACAGAACACCAAUUGCGAAGGCAGCUCACUAAGGCGAUACUGACGCUGAGGCACGAAAGCGUGGGGAUCGAACAGGAUUAGAAACCCGUGUAGUCC
rnacentral:rRNA from 1 species